rnacentral:rRNA from 1 species
UACGAGGGGGGCGAGCGUUGUUCGGAAUUAUUGGGCGUAAAGGGCGCGUAGGCGGUGCGGUAAGUCACCUGUGAAACCUCUGGGCUUAACUCAGAGCCUGCAGGCGAAACUGCCGUGCUGGAGUAUGGGAGAGGUGCGUGGAAUUCCCGGUGUAGCGGUGAAAUUCGUAGAUAUUGGGAAGAACACCGGUGGCGAAGGCGGCGACCUGGUCCGAUACUGACGCUGAGGCGCGAAAGCGUGGGGAGCAAACAGG